CCAAGGAUUAAAAGUCUUACUAUACUUGGAAGAGGAUGACGACUUUUUCUAUAACACACCUUUAAGUGGAGCUCAGUUACAGUUCUCCGAUGCCUACGAUUUUCCUGAUGCACCAAGCGGCAGUUUUUCAAUGCAAAUAGUCAGUCCACAUGUACAUUUGGAGGUAUUAGCAUCAGCAACGUUUACUGAAGCGUCCAGGGAAAUAGAACAUGUAUCGUUGAAGUUACGCAAAUGUUUGUUUUUCGACGAGUCCUCGUACCUACCAUUUUAUACCCACAGCGAUUGUCUGCUCAAGUGCCGUAUGUCCUUCCUAAUGGAAAAAUGCAAUUGCACACCAUUCAACAUGCCUAAAAUAAGAAACACAAAGACGUGUGAUUUGACAGAUGUGCCGUGCUUAACAAAGUACCAUGCCCAAUCUACAACUGUCAGACCAGAUUUAGAACAAAUCCCACCGGAAUUGGAGCUUGACCUAGUCGCAGGAGGUAUUUACUGUCCAAUGUGUUACCCAACUUGUUCAAAGACCACUUAUAAUUACGACUACACCAACGUUCAUAUCUUUCCGGACCACGUCAACCCAACACCGGUUAAGGACAAGAUAGACUGGCUGCACGGUGCAAACUUUACAGGAACUUCCAUUGUACAUGUGAAAUACGGGAGGGAGGUAGCUGAUUGUUACGGGCAGAAUGUUAUUAUGAAAUGGUUUGAUCUGAUAAGCAAUAUUGGCUCGACAUGCGGAUUCAUAACUGGUUUCAGUUUUGUAUCUGUAUUGGAAUUUGUUUAUUUCUAUACGGUAAAACUCAUGAGAGACUAUGUAAUUCGACGGCGACGUGAACGGCGCAUUGCGAGCGGCGCUUCCACUCCAGCUCAAUUUGAUCAUGACAGUCGAUACAGACCGAUAUAUUGGAACGAAAUCACUGGUCCUAAAGGGUCCAGAGUGGAGAACCAAUUUUAAAGGACGUAGAAUUGAUUCGUUAAUGAAUAUCAGCUUACAAUUACGACCAUAUAAUAAAAUAUUUAUUAAAGUUAGCAACGUGUUCAAUACCAUUCUUUGGAAACAACAUGGUAACCAUGAUUUUUGUGGCUGAUUUUCGUAUGUGUAUCGUGGUAUUGUUCGUCUCUUCUAAUAGCAGCGCAAUACAAUGCAUUCAUAAACAACCCUAUUUCGUUCGUCGUAGAAACC